GACGAACGCUGGCGGCGUGCUUAACACAUGCAAGUCGAACGGAAAGGCCCUGCUUUUGUUGGGUGCUCGAGUGGCGAACGGGUGAGUAACACGUGAGUAACCUGCCCUUGACUUUGGGAUAACUUCAGGAAACUGGGGCUAAUACCGGAUAGGAGCUCCUGCUGCAUGGUGGGGGUUGGAAAGUUUCGGCGGUUGGGGAUGGACUCGCGGCUUAUCAGCUUGUUGGUGGGGUAGUGGCUUACCAAGGCUUUGACGGGUAGCCGGCCUGAGAGGGUGACCGGCCACAUGGGGACUGAGGUACGGCACAGAAUGGUACGGGAGGCAGCAGUGGGGAAUAUUGCACAAUGGGCGGAAGCCUGAUGCAGCAACGCCGCGUGCGGGAUGACGGCCUUCGGGUUGUAAACCGCUUUCGCAUGUGACGAAGCGUGAGUGACGGUAAUGGGUAAAGAAGCACCGGCUAACUACGUG
rnacentral:rRNA from 1 species